ACACACUAGUGCUUUCCCCUUCUUGAAUCCCGCCCCCACUGUUACCACAGGCCUUCUUUGCGGCUGGCCCAGGCCCUACAAGGGAAAAAUCCGCCACUGGCUGACGAAAUUCAUCUUCAGAAGGCUGAGUCUUCCCAGCAGCAUGGCCCAGUAAGGAAGUGUGAGAGACUCCGGCGCCCCGCCCUCAGACAGCUGCUCCACCCCAGGGAGCUCUGCUGGCCGGAUGUGCCAGUGACAAUGACAUGCCAGUGAUGACGUGUCAGAGGGCGUGCUGCUUGAAGGAUUCCAGGGCGCUGCUGGAGAGAGGACCCGGAGCACACAAGGAGAGAAAGAUACCAAAUGGGGAA